rnacentral:rRNA from 1 species
CUGAGGCACGAAGGCCAGGGGAGCAAACGGGAUUAGAUACCCCGGUAGUCCUGGCAGUAAACGGUGCGCGUUUGGUGUGGGAGGAUUCGACCCCUUCCGUGCCGGAGCUAACGCGUUAAACGCGCCGCCUGGGGAGUACGGUCGCAAGAUUAAAACUCAAAGAAAUUGACGGGGGCCCGCACAAGCGGUGGAGUAUGUGGCUUAAUUCGAUGCAACGCGAAGAACCUUACCUGGGCUUGACAUGGGAGGGCCGUGUCCAGAGAUGGGCAUUUCCGCAAGGACCCUCUGCACAGGUGCUGCAUGGCUGUCGUCAGCUCGUGUCGUGAGAUGUUGGGUUAAGUCCCGCAACGAGCGCAACCCUCGCCUUCAGUUGCCAUCGGGUUUGGCUGGGCACUCUGAAGGAACUGCCGGUGACAAGCCGGAGGAAGGCGGGGAUGACGUCAAGUCCUCAUGGCCUUUAUGGGCUGGGCUACACACGUGCUACAAUGGCGGUGACAGAGGGCGGCAAGGGAGCGAUCCUGCGCCAAUCUCGAAAAGCCGUCUCAGUUCGG